AUCCUACGGGGCGCAGCAGUGGGGAAUAUUGGGCAAUGGGCGCAAGCCUGACCCAGCAACGCCGCGUGAAGGAAGAAGGCCCUCGGGUUGUAAACUUCUUUUAUUCGGGACGAAACAAAUGACGGUACCGAAUGAAUAAGCCACGGCUAACUACGUGCCAGCAGCCGCGGUAAUACGUAGGUGGCAAGCGUUAUCCGGAUUUACUGGGUGUAAAGGGCGUGUAGGCGGGACUGCAAGUCAGAUGUGAAAAUUAUGGGCUCAACCCAUAACCUGCAUUUGAAACUGUAGUUCUUGAGUGAUGGAGG
rnacentral:rRNA from 1 species